rnacentral:pre_miRNA from 1 species
UUUAAGUAUAAUCGUGUGUGACCGUCCGUCUUAUUUAAAUUUUUUUAUAAUUAGUAUUUUUAUUGUUAUUAAAUGAUAAAACAUGAACAAUACUUUAUACGUGACUUAUUUUUUUUAAAAAAAUUCAGAUAAACAGACAUUUAAUCGUUGGAAAAAAACAUACAUCUGCACUUAUA